rnacentral:rRNA from 1 species
AUUGAACGCUGGCGGCAGGCCUAACACAUGCAAGUCGAGCGAGCGGCGGACGGGUGCGUAAUGUAUGGGGACUGCCCGAUAGAGGGGGAUAACUACUGGAAACGGUAGCUAAUACCGCAUACUCUCGGAUUCCCCAUUUGGGAUUGGCUAGUAGGUGGGGUAAUGGCUAACCUAGGCGACGAACCCUAGCUGGUCUGAGAGGAUGAUCAGCCACAGUGGGACUGAGACACGGCCCAGACUCCUACGGAGGCAGCGGUAGGGAAUCUUGCACAAUGGGCGAAAGCCUGAUGCAGCAAUGCCGCGUGUAGGAAGAAGGCCAUAGGGUCGUAAAGUACUUUCAGUCGGGAGGCGGUACCGACAGAAGAAGCCCCGGCUAACUCCGUGCCAGCAGCCGCGGUAAUUC